rnacentral:rRNA from 1 species
ACUCUGAGGCACGAAGGCUGGGGGAGCGAACAGGAUUAGAUACCCUGGUAGUCCCAGCAGUAAACGAUGUGAGCUUGAUGUGGGGGGAUUCGACCCCUUCCGUGUCGAAGCUAACGCGAUAAGCUCACCGCCUGAGGAGUACGGGCCGCAAGGCUAAAACUCAAAGAAAUUUGACGGGGACCCGCACAAGCGGUGGAGUAUGUGGCUUAAUUCGAUGCAACGCGAAGAACCUUACCUGGCCUUGACAUGCAUUGUGUCGUCGGUGAAAGCCGGCUAGUCCUGGAAACAGGACGCUUUGCACAGGUGCUGCAUGGCUGUCGUCAGCUCGUGUCGUGAGAUGUUGGGUUAAGUCCCGCAACGAGCGCAACCCUUGUGGUCAGUUACUAACCGGCUUAGCCGGAGGACUCUGGCCAGACUGCCCUGUCAAACGGGGAGGAAGGUGGGGACGACGUCAAGUCAGUAUGGCCCUUAUGGCCAGGGCUGCACACGUACUACAAUGCCCGGUACAAUGUGAACCGAAACCGCGAGCUGGAGGAAUCGCUCUUGAAACCGGGCCAGUUCGGAUGGAGUCUGCACUCGACUCCAUGAGUCGGAUCGCUAGUAUGGCGUAUCAGCAACGACGCCGUGAUACGUUCCCGGGUCUUGACACACCGCCCGUCACAUCAUGGAGUCUCCUGUACCCGAAGCACGUGCGCCACAUUUCAGGAGGCAGCGUUCGAAGU